rnacentral:rRNA from 1 species
UAAACUACGAUUAGAUACCCUAUUAUUCUAAUUGUUAAAUAUUAGCCAGAGUAGUAGCAGAUAUGUUCUUAAAACUCAAAGAAUUUGGCGGUGUUUUAGUCCUAUCAGAGGAAUUUGUCCCGUAAUCGAUAACCCACGAUUUACUUGACUCAGUUUUGUAGUCAGCUUGUAUACCGCCGUCAAAAGAUUAUUUCUAGAGAAAAUGUUCAAGAUUCUGUAAUAAGAAGUAUGUCAGGUCAAGGUGCAGUUUAUGGCUGAGUGGCGAUGGAUUACAAUAUAGAUAAUAUAAACGGAUUUGAUUUUGUAAAGGUUAAUGAAGGUGGAUUUGGGUGUAAUAAAAUAAAGAAUAGUUUUAUGAUAAAGGCUCUAAAACAUGCACACAUCGCCCGUCGCUCUUA